ensembl:lncRNA
CUUUCUGUGAAGGUUACAGUAUAUGAAGGCUUAAUGUGGUGGUGAGUGUUAUGUAAGGAUGGGUCUCUCUUGGAAAUGCACAAAAUCUCAGAACAGAUGAGUCAGGAAGGGAGAUGAGAGAGGAGAUGAUAGAGGAGGGGAGAUGAGAGAGGAGGGGAGAUGAGAGAGGAGGAGAGAUGAGAGGGGAGAUGAGAUGAGUCAGGAAGGGAGAUGAGAUGAGUCAGGAAGGAGAUGAGAUGAGUCAGGAAGGGAGAUGAGAGGAGAGAUGAGAGGAGAGAUGAGUCAGGAAGGAGAUGAGAGGAGAGAUGAGUCAGGAAGGGAGAUGAGAGGAGAGAUGAGAGGGGAGAUGAGUCAGGAGGGGAGAUGAGAGGAGAGAUGAGUCAGGAAGGGAGAUGAGAGGAGAGAUGAGUCAGGAAGGGAGAUGAGAGAGGAGGGGAGAUGAGUCAGGAGGGGAGAUGAGAGGGGAGAUGAGUCAGGAGGGGAGAUGAGUCAGGAGGGGAGAUGAG